rnacentral:rRNA from 1 species
UACUAUGGCCAUGCCACCCUGAACAUGCCCAAUCUCAUCUGAUCUUGAAAGCUAAGCAGAGUCAGGCCUGGUUAGUACUUGGAUAGGAGACCACCUAGGAAGACCAGGUGGUGGAGGCU